CCUACGGGAGGCCGCAGUGAGGAAUAUUGGUCAAUGGGCGAGAUCCUGAACCAGCCAAGCCGCGUGAGGGAAGACGGCCCUAUGGGUUGUAAACCUCUUUUGUCGGGGAACAAAACCCGGGACGUGUCCCGGACUGCGUGUAUCCGAAGAAAAAGCAUCGGCUAAUCCCGUGCCAGCAGCCGCGGUAAUACGGAGGAUGCGAGCGUUAUCCGGAUUUAUUGGGGUUAAAGUGUGCGUAGGCGGUCCGUUAAGUCAGCGGUAAAAUAGCGGGGCUCAACCCCGCCGGGCCGUUGAAACUGGCAGACUUGAGUGUGCGAGAGGUACGCGGAAUGCGCGGUGUAGCGGUGAAAUGCAUAGAUAUCGCGAAGAACUCCGAUUGCGAAGGCAGCGUACCGGCGCAAGACUGACGCUGAGGCACGAAAGCGUGGGGAUCGAACAGGAUUAGAUACCCUGGUAGUC
rnacentral:rRNA from 1 species